UACGGGGGGAGCAAGCGUUGUUCGGAUUUACUGGGCGUAAAGGGCGCGUAGGCGGCCACCGCAAGUCGACUGUGAAAUCUCCGGGCUUAACCCGGAAAGGUCAGCCGAUACUGGCGGGCUAGAGUGCAGGAAGGGGCAACUGGGAAUUCUCGGUGUAGCGGUGAAAUGCGUAGAUAUCGAGAGGAACACCUGCGGCGAAGGCGGGUGCUGGGCUGACACUGACGCUGAGGCGCGAAAGCUAGGGGAGCGAACGGG
rnacentral:rRNA from 1 species